UACAGAGACCUCAAGCGUUAUCCGGAAUCAUUGGGCGUAAAGCGUACCGAUAGGUGGUUAUACAAGUCAGAAGUGAAAUUCCAAAGCUUAACUUUGGGCCUGUCUUUUGAAACUGUAUAACUAGAAGGGCAAAGAGGAAGCUGGAACAAACGGUGUAGUAGUGAAAUGCGUUGAUAUCGUUUGGAACACCAAUAGCGUAGGCAGGCUUCUGGGUGCCACUUGACACUGCUAGGACGAAAGCGUGGGGAGCGAAUGGG
rnacentral:rRNA from 1 species